rnacentral:rRNA from 1 species
UACGGGGGGUGCAAGCGUUGUUCGGAAUUACUGGGCGUAAAGGGCUCGUAGGCGGCCAACUAAGUCAGACGUGAAAUCCCUCGGCUUAACCGGGGAACUGCGUCUGAUACUGGAUGGCUUGAGUUCGGGAGAGGGAUGCGGAAUUCCUGGUGUAGCGGUGAAAUGCGCAGAUAUCAGGAGGAACACCGGUGGCGAAGGCGGAUCUCUGGGCCUUACCUGACGCUGAGGCGCGAAAGCUAGGGGAGCAAACAGG